rnacentral:lncRNA from 13 species
CUUCCUGCCUCAGCCUCCCAAAGUGCUAGGAUUACAGGUGUGAGCCACCACACCUGGCCUUAAAUGUCUGCUUUCAUUAUGAUCUACCAUUAAGUUUUCUGUAAAAAGCUCCAUCCUGGUAGUAACCAUAACCUCUCUUCACUCCUAUUCUAGAGGCGAGAAUUCUGAUGACAGACAGAAGAAUGAAGUGCUGGGAGUCCAUUUCCCUUUUACAGAUGGGCUGAACACAGAUGGGUGAGCAACUCUCCCACAGGCAAGAGCGAAUCGUCCCGGAUGAUGGAUGAGGAGGAGAUGGUGCUGAGAGGCGCUCGGGGACCCGUCAAGGGGUCUCUCCCAGCUUCGUCUGUGAGUCACAGAUCAUCCUGACAAAUCCUGCCGCAGAGCGGAGGAGAAGUGAGACGGGAGAGAUGGAGGAUUUAUUGUUUCAGAGCCUUCCUCCAUUGCAGGGAUUUUUUUACUCCAGAGAAGCAUUAACAGAGAGUACUCCUAAUCUGGGUUUUACUUUCUCAGCCAAAGCACUUCUUCACAGCUCGAGCAAAUGCAGGCCAUGCCUACAUUCGCUCAUUCAUUCCCUCACAUACUGUGGGCGCAGAGACAGAGGCAAGAGUCGUCGUCAUCACGAGCUCAGAGGGAGGAUUGCAGACGCUGCUGAAUGCUGUUCGCUUUAAUAAAAAGAUGAAAGAGAGCACCCACUGUGACUGACACAGGCCAGCGUCAGGACAUAACGAGGAAAUGUCAUGCCGGACUGACACGCCAGACUUUCACUUCAGCUGUGCAGCGCAGUUCCUCCCCUCAGGACAGAGUCUCUAGAGCACCCAUGGGGCAGCUCUGCCACCGAAGACUCACCUUACAGACACAGUCUCCCCUUGGGCACAAAGAAUGAAACCAAGGACUUGCCCAUUGCUCUCCCUUCAGAAUCUAUCCAAGCCUCCAGCCCCAGAGCCUGCCUAACAAUGGCAGAUUCGGAUGGGGGUGAGGAGGAGGAGGGCGUGGGAGGAGAGAAAGAAGAACGGCAGGGGUAAUUAUGGGGAAGCAGGUGGUCGGGGCAGAGCGAGGACAUAAGGCCAGUGCUGUGACACCCAGGGAUGGUGGGAGCCAUGGGAGGCCCAGGCCCCUUCUGUCCUGGCCUGGAUGCCGCCUCCCUCACCGCCUGGCUGGCUUGAGGAAUCAGAAAGAGCAUCAGCUACGGGUCUGUGCACGAGCAGAUGAGCCCUGCUGCCGGGCUAGCCUCACGCUGUGAAAUAGCAGAGAGGCCUGGCCCCAGUACAAUCCGGGAAGGGGAGGGGGCACAGCCUCGUCUGUUUGGCCCCUCGUUCUCUGCCUCUCUGUCCUGGAAUGGCACAUCCACGAGGGCAGGGGCUUCGUGCCUCUUGUUGUCUUCGUGCCUCUCUGCUGUCUCCCAGAACCAACCAC